rnacentral:rRNA from 1 species
GGACCCGCACAAGUAGUGGAGCAUGUGGUUUAAUUCGAAGAUACGCGCAGAACCUUACCAACACUUGACAUGUUCGUCGCGACUCUAAGAGAUUAGAGUUUUCGGUUCGGCCGGACGAAACACAGGUGCUGCAUGGCUGUCGUCAGCUCGUGUCGUGAGAUGUUGGGUUAAGUCCCGCAACGAGCGCAACCCUCACUUUUAGUUGCCAUCAUUUAGUUGGGCACUCUGAAAGAACUGCCAGUGAUAAGCUGGAGGAAGGUGGGGAUGACGUCAAAUCAUCACGGCCCUUACGUCCUGGGCUACACACGUGCUACAAUGGCCGGUACAGAGAGCAGCCACUUCGCAAGAAGGAG